ACGAGAAUAUUCCGCAAUGGACGAAAGUCUGACGGAGCGACGCCGCGUGAUUGAUGAAGUGCUUCGGUACGUAAAGAUCUUUUAUCGGGGACGAAGUUUAUUGACGGUACCCGAUGAAUAAGGGGCUCCUAACUCUGUGCCAGCAGGAGCGGUAAUACAGAGGCCCCAAGCAUUACCCGGAAUCACUGGGCGUAAAGGGUGUCUAGGCGGCCAUAUUAGUCUCUCGUUAAAUCUGUGGGCUCAACCUGCAGCCGGCGAGGGAAACGGUAUGGCUCGAGGGCGUGAGAGGUGCACGGAACUCAUGGUGGAGGGUGAAAUCCGUUGAUAUCAUGGGGAACACCAAAGGCGAAGGCAGUGCACUGGUACGUUCCUGACGCUCAAACACGAAAGCCAGGGUAGCGAAGAGGAUUAGAUACCCCGGUAGUCCCUGAGCGGGCUGGCAAGGCGCAU
rnacentral:rRNA from 1 species